AGCUUUGUGCAGUAGCAGUAUCGUAGCCAAUGAGGUUUAUCUGAGACAUGAUUAUUGCUAAUUGAAAACUUUUCCCAAUACCCUGCUGUGACAACUUGAAAUAUAGUCGGCAUUGGCAAAAAAAUAAUAAUAAUAAU